AUGGUGCGAUCGAAGAUGGUGAUGGGUCCAUCAAGUAAUGGCUUACCCAUGGAAGGUGUUACAUGGUACCACACCAAAUCAGAUUCUUCAUACGACUUCAUCACAAUCUUAAAACUGGAAGCCCUGCUUAGCCAAUGGGCUGCUACUGGGAAAUGGACGGGAUUGGGAGAAGAAGAAGGGCGGACGAUGAUGGUCUGUGGUAGAAGGAUAGAGCAGAAGAUGAAUAGUAGUCGCGGAUGUUGGUUUCCGGUUGGAGAAGACAACGGGUUGGAUGUACUGUUACGGUUGUUGUGA